UGAGUUUGAUCAUGGCUCAGGAUGAACGCUGGCGGCGUGCUUAACACAUGCAAGUCGAACGAACCUUCGGGUUAGUGGCGGACGGGUGAGUAACGCGUGAGAAUCUGCCCUCAGGAGGGGGACAACAGCUGGAAACGGCUGCUAAUACCCCAUAUGCCGCGAGGCGAAAUGAAUUUCGCCUGAGGAUGAGCUCGCGUCUGAUUAGCUAGUUGGUGUAGGUAAUGGCUCACCAAGGCAUCGAUCAGUAGCUGGUCUGAGAGGAUGAUCAGCCACACUGGGACUGAGACACGGCCCAGACUCCUACGGGAGGCAGCAGUGGGGAAUUUUCCGCAAUGGGCGAAAGCCUGACGGAGCAACGCCGCGUGAGGGAUGAAGGCCUCUGGGCUGUAAGCCUCUUUUAUCAAGGAAGAAGAUCUGACGGUACUUGAUGAAUAAGCCACGGCUAAUUCCGUGCCAGCAGCCGCGGUAAUACGGGAGUGGCAAGCGUUAUCCGGAAUUAUUGGGCGUAAAGCGUCCGCAGGCGGCCCUUCAAGUCUGCUGCUAAAAAGUGGAGCUUAACUCCAUCAUGGCAGUGGAAACUGUUGGGCUUGAGUGUGGUAGGGGCA
rnacentral:rRNA from 1 species